rfam:Oryza meridionalis cultivar OR44 (W2112) chromosome 2, whole genome shotgun sequence.
AAUAAAUAUAGUUAUGGGUUUCAGCACCUAACUUUGAUCAUUCUUCUUAUUUGAAAUAUUUUAUGAUUACUAUUUUUAUUGUUAUUAGAUGAUAAAAUAUAAAUAGUAUUUUAUGCGUGACUUAACUUUUAAUUUUUUUCAUAAUUUUGAAAUAAGACGGACGGUCGAACAUUAGCCACGAAAACUUAUGGAUGUACUUAUA